GCAAGUCGAGCGGACGGAUGGGAGCUUGCUCCCUGAAGUCAGCGGCGGACGGGUGAGUAACACGUGGGCAACCUGCCUGUAAGACUGGGAUAACUUCGGGAAACCGGAGCUAAUACCGGAUAAUGCACAGCCUCUCAUGAGGCUAUGCUGAAAGAUGGUUUCGGCUAUCACUUACAGAUGGGCCCGCGGCGCAUUAGCUAGUUGGUGAGGUAACGGCUCACCAAGGCAACGAUGCGUAGCCGACCUGAGAGGGUGAUCGGCCACACUGGGACUGAGACACGGCCCAGACUCCUACGGGAGGCAGCAGUAGGGAAUCUUCCGCAAUGGACGAAAGUCUGACGGAGCAACGCCGCGUGAGUGAUGAAGGUUUUCGGAUCGUAAAACUCUGUUGUCAGGGAAGAACAAGUGCCGGAGUAACUGCCGGCACCUUGACGGUACCUGACCAGAAAGCCACGGCUAACUACGUGCCAGCAGCCGCGGUAAUACGUAGGUGGCAAGCGUUGUCCGGAAUUAUUGGGCGUAAAGCGCGCGCAGGCGGUCUCUUAAGUCUGAUGUGAAAGCCCACGGCUCAACCGUGGAGGGUCAUUGGAAACUGGGGGACUUGAGUGCAGAAGAGGAAAGUGGAAUUCCACGUGUAGCGGUGAAAUGCGUAGAGAUGUGGAGGAACACCAGUGGCG
rnacentral:rRNA from 1 species